GUAGAAAACAACUCUAAGGGGCUAAAUUGUUUUAUUGGUGAGGUACACUUCUCUACUUGAAACUUAAUUAUUAUUCAUAAAUUGAGUAGUUUUGUAAGGUAUUUUAGAUCUAAGAAAUUGCUUCAUAAUUCACCUUACCCAUUCAACAUUAGCCUUACUCAGCUUCAUUCCUUUAAUUUCAUCUCUACUUAUAUGCCAUGCAUAUAUCCAAUCCAACCAACCAUAACUUUGACAUAAACAUUAAAAUUGGAUUUAAUAUUCUUAUUG
rnacentral:misc_RNA from 1 species